UACGUAGGUGGCGAGCGUUGUCCGGAAUUACUGGGCGUAAAGCGCGUGUAGGCGGAUAUAUAAGUCAGGUGUGAAAUCCCUUGGCUUAACUGAGGAAGUGCAUUUGAAACUGUAUAUCUUGAGUACGAUAGAGGAGAGUGGAAUUCCCAGUGUAGAGGUGAAAUUCAUAGAUAUUGGGAAGAACACCGGUGGCGAAGGCGGCUCUCUGGAUCGAUACUGACGCUGAUACGCGAAAGCGUGGGGAGCAAACAGG
rnacentral:rRNA from 1 species